UACGUAGGGGGCUAGCGUUGUCCGGAAUCACUGGGCGUAAAGGGUUCGCAGGCGGAAAUGCAAGUCAGGUGUAAAAGGCAGUAGCUUAACUACUGUAAGCAUUUGAAACUGCAUAUCUUGAGAAGAGUAGAGGUAAGUGGAAUUUUUAGUGUAGCGGUGAAAUGCGUAGAUAUUAAAAAGAAUACCGGUGGCGAAGGCGACUUACUGGGCUCAUUCUGACGCUGAGGAACGAAAGCGUGGGUAGC
rnacentral:rRNA from 1 species